GCCCUGGCAGUCACACGGCCUCCUCUCUCACAGCCUCCGUCACGGCCCCAGCAGUCUACCCUCUGGAUCCCAGCUGUGGGAGCACAACCGGCUCCACAGUGGUCGUGGGCUGCCUGGUCUCGAGCUACGUCCCUGAGCCAGUGACCGUGACCUGGAACUCGGGCACCCAAUCCAGCAACGUGCACACCUUCCCAUCCGUCCGAGGGUCCUCGGGGCUCUACUCUCUCAGCAGCACUGUGACCGUGCCUGCCAGCACCUCGUCUGGCAAGACCUUCACCUGCAACGUAGCCCACCCGGCCAGCAGCACCAAGGUGGACAAGAGCAUCGAGAUCAAGCCAACCACAACUCCCGAACGCCCCCAGUGUCCUGAAUGCCUCAAGUGCCCCAAAUGUCCACCCCCUGAGCUCCCAGGAGGACCGUCCGUCUUCAUCUUCCCCCCGACACCCAGGGACACCCUCACAAUAUCCCAAACACCCGAGGUCACCUGCGUUGUGGUUGACGUGGGCCACGAGGACCCCGAUGUCCAGUUCUCCUGGUACGUGGACGAUGCAGAGGUGCACACGGCCAAGACGAAGCCAAGGGAGGAGCAGUUCAACAGCACCUACCGUGUGGUCAGCGCCCUGCCCAUCCAGCACCAGGACUGGCUGAAGGGAAAGGAGUUCAAGUGCAAGGUCAACAACAAAGGCCUCCCGGCCCCCAUCGUGAGGACCAUCUCCAAGGCCAAAGGUGGGUCAGGUG